GUGGGGUUGUGGUUCAGCGGUAGAGUGCUCGCCUAGCAUGUGUGAGGCCCUGGGUUCUAUCCUCAGCACCACA
rnacentral:tRNA from 1 species